rnacentral:rRNA from 1 species
UACGAACUGUGCGAACGUUAUUCGGAAUCACUGGGCUUAAAGGGUGCGUAGGCGGCUGCCUAAGUCAGAUGUGAAAGCUUCCGGCUCAACCGGAAAACUGCGCUUGAUACUGGGCGGCUUGAGUGGGGUAGGGGUGUGUGGAACUUCCGGUGGAGCGGUGAAAUGUGUAGAUAUCGGAAGGAACGCCAGCAGCGAAAGCGGCACACUGGGCCUUUUCUGACGCUGAGGCACGAAAGCCAGGGGAGCGAACGGG